AUACAUUUGCAGCAUUGUCUGUGACCAAGCUGCGUACUGGACAUUUGAAUUCUUUUUCACAGUUUGUUAUAGCUUUUACUGCUCCUUCUUGUAAGUACUCUGCUGUGUGUGCAAUUCCUGAUGUAUCAAUUGUUUCUGUAAGGACAGUCCCUUCUGUUGUCACACAAACACAUACAACAGGAUCAUCGGGGACAUUGCUCCACUCAUCAAGACUCAGGUUAACAAUUUCACCCUUUAGACCUUUUGCACACUGCUCAAUUUCUCCUUCAUACACUUUGUCUAGCAAUUUGCCUGCAACAUCUGCUCUGUUGGGUGGACUGUAUCCUGGUUUUAAUGACUGACCCGUGUUAAGGAAGUGUCCAUUCUCAGUCAUACGGAAAGGAGAGUUUGGUGCAUAAACAAACUGGGCAAUUUUUUCAUCAAUUACUUCUUUUUGUAAUCUGCUGGUUCUUACCACAAACCUAUGUAUAGUUGUUUCUGGAUGAUGGAGAUUUUAUUUUUUCUUUUUGCUGCAGGUGAUAUACUGUGUCUAUGUGACAUACAUGAUGUGACUGAAACUCUGAAACAAUAGAAAAUAAUAGUGAUGUUGAAGGUGGAUAGUCUUCAGAAUCCUGUAUGUUGAGGGUGGAUUCUGCGAAACAAAAUAAGUCAGUGCAGUUAUUUAAUUAUUACCACACUGCUCGUGUAGUAUUCCUGAUUGCAUUCACUGCCACUCAGUGCUACUGUAAAGGUGAAAUUGUAAAAGGAAGAUCCUGCCUAUUUCAGCUCUUUAUUUUUUAUCACAACUAUAUUUUUUGCUCAAACAUGCGAAUUCAAGAAGAGUUCAGAAGGAAGACGAGCAGUCCUUAAGAAAGAAGUAUGAAAUAAAAAAGUUUACCAACCUGAA